rnacentral:rRNA from 1 species
GUUAGUGGCGAACGGGUGAGUAAUGCAUAGGUAACGUGCCCCGAUCUCCAGAAUAGCCGGGGGAAACUCCGGGUAAUACUGGAUGACAUCCAGAGGUCGAAUGGCAUAAUGAUCAAAGGCUUCGGCCGGUUUAGGAGCGGACUAUAUCGUAUCAGCUAGUUGGUGAGGUAAUGGCUUACCAAGGCUUCGACGCGUAGCGGGACUGAGAGGUUGAUCCGCCAUAUCGGGACUGAGACACUGCCCGGACCCCCACGGGGGGCUGCAGUAACGAAUCUUGCGCAAUGGACGAAAGUCUGACGCAGCAACGCCGUGUGUAGGAUGAAGCCCUUCGGGGUGUAAACUACUGUCAGGGUGAAGAAAGACUUGAUCGAUCCCAGAGGAAGGACCGGCUAACUUCGUGCCAGCAGCCGCGGUAAUACGAAGGGUCCAAGCGUUAUUCGGAAUUACUGGGCUUAAAGCGCGCGUAGGUGGGAAAGUAAGUGUCUUGUGAAAGCCCAUGGCUCAACCAUGGAAUUGCUUGGCAAACUGCUUUUCUUGAGGCAAGUAGGAGUAUAUGGAACUCUUGGUGGAGCGGUGAAAUGCGUAGAUAUCAAGAGGAACGCCAGCGGAGAAAUCGGUAUACUGGGCUUGUCCUGACACUGAGGUGCGAAAGCAUGGGUAGCGAACGGGAUUAGAUACCCCGGUAGUCCAUGCCGUAAACGAUGUCUACUAGAUAUUGGGAAUUCUGACGUUUUCAUUGACGGAGCAAAAGUAUUAAGUAGACCGCCUGGGGAGUACGGUCGCAAGGCUAAAACUCAAAGGAAUUGACGGGGGCUCACACAAGCGGUGGAGCAUGUGGCUUAAUUCGAAGCAACGCGAAGAACCUUAUCCUGGAUUGACCAUGCUUGGAUGCCGGCUAUGAAAGUAGUUUGGCUGCCUUCGGGUGAAACUUGCACAGGUAUUGCAUGGCUGUCGUCAGCUCGUGCCGUGAGGUGUCGGGUUAAGUCCCUUAACGAGCGCAACCCCUAUCCUUAGUUACCAGCGGGUAAAGCCGGGGACUCUAGGGAGACUGCCGGUGUUAAACCGGAGGAAGGCGGGGAUGACGUCAAGUCAUCAUGGUCCUUACGCCCAGGGCUACAAACGUGCUACAAUGGCCGGUACAAAGCGAAGCAAGACCGCGAGGUGGAGCAAAUCGCACAAAGCCGGUCCCAGUUCGGAUUGCAGGCUGAAACUCGCCUGCAUGAAGUUGGAAUCGCUAGUAAUCGCGGAUCAGCAAUGCCGCGGUGAAUGUGUUCCUGAGCCUUGUACACACCGCCCGUCAAGCCACCCAAAUAGGUCGCACCCGAAGUCGGGUAGCUAACCUUCGG